CCUACGGGACGCAGCAGUGGGGAAUAUUGCACAAUGGGCGCAAGCCUGAUGCAGCCAUGUCGCGUGUAUGAAGAAGGCCUUCGGGUUGUAAAGUACUUUCAGCUGGGAGGAAGGCGAUAAGGUUAAUAACCUUGUCGAUUGACGUUACCCGCAGAAGAAGCACCGGCUAACUCCGUGCCACCAGCCGCGGUAUACGGAGGGUGCAAGCGUUAAUCGGAAUUACUGGGCGUAAAGCGCACGCAGGCGGUUUGUCAAGUCGGAUGUGAAAUCCCCGGGCUCAACCUGGGAACUGCAUUCGAAACUGGCAGGCUAGAGUCUUGUAGAGGGGGGUAGAAUUCCAGGUGUAGCGGUGAAAUGCGUAGAGAUCUGGAGGAAUACCGGUGGCGAAGGCGGCCCCCUGGACAAAGACUGACGCUCAGGUGCGAAAGCGUGGGGAGCAAACAGGAUUAGAUACCCUCGUAGUC
rnacentral:rRNA from 1 species